rnacentral:rRNA from 1 species
UACGUAGGGUGCAAGCGUUAAUCGGAAUUACUGGGCGUAAAGCGUGCGCAGGCGGCUUUGCAAGACAGAUGUGAAAUCCCCGGGCUCAACCUGGGAACUGCAUUUGUGACUGCAAGGCUAGAGUACGAUAGAGGGGGAUGGAAUUCCGCGUGUAGCAGUGAAAUGCGUAGAUAUGCGGAGGAACACCGAUGGCGAAGGCAAUCCCCUGGACCUGUACUGACGCUCAUGCACGAAAGCGUGGGGAGCAAACAGG